UAUUGCUCCAAGCUGGGCAAUGAACCUGGGAAAGUUGCUUUGCUACCAUCCAUGAUACAGUACAAAUCAGCAAGCAGCUCACAUAUGGGUCAGCCUGCAAUCUCCUUAGUCAGCAUCUAAGGCUAGUCCCAGGUGUCAGAGCUUGCAACAUUUGGGACAGGACUCUUGACCGAGUUUAAAGGCAAAGGCAACAGAGUAAAUUUGUUUUCCCCAAAUAGAAUGUGCCUCCUGUUCAAUGUUUGUCCCCUUGAAUAGUGUAAAAAUGCUGACUCCACAGCUAGUAGGAGAGAGUUCAUCAGCUGCACUGGGCUCCAGUGAAUAAACCCAGUGAUUUUGUCACCAGCCAGUUUAGCUCAGAGUCUGGCUGAGGCAGCUGCUCAGUGUCUCCAGUGUUUGUGUGGACAUGCUCUGAAGCACAGGAUCUGGCAGUGACAGUUUUCCCUUUUGCACAUCACCUGCUUCACUGCUUUUGCAUAAGGGUGAUCUAAAGCUUAGCAAAGACUCUUAGCUGGAAAUAUUGCACACGUAUUAGAAUUACUGUAAUGUUCUUCCUUUGCAGAAAGCAAUUCAUUAGCUACUGGCUCAAGAACCUUUGGCUAACAACAGGCAUUCAAACCAUCAGCCUUAUCUCCAGCUGAACAAUGCAAAUAGAGGCAAAUCUGAGAGCACAUGGAGGAUCCAGAAGACGUGGUCAUGGUUCUGCAGCUCCUUGCCUAGUAUUUCCUCUGUGCCUGUGAGUGCUUCAGCUCAGCCCGCUUCCUGAGCAUUAGCAGUCCCGGGAGCCUGGAGACAGCAUUUUCCAACAGCAAGAAUUCUGCCUCUCAGAGCAACAGAACAACAGCAUUUUUUCGGUCAGUCACACAAUGAAACUUUAAGAAAUGCAAUAACAGACCUUGGAAGGUGAAAUUAAAGCUACCAUCUUUGUUCAGCCAGAGCUGCAGUCAAAUACAGGAGUUCUGCUGACAGUGCCUUCAUGCUGGCUCUCAGUGACAGCAAGCAAAGUAAAGCAAGAAAUAUCUGUAGGCUUGUCAUGUACUAAUAUCCUUUUGAUAAUGCAGACUGUUAAUCCUAACCCAGGUAAAGAGAAGAAAAGAAAUUGGGUUCUUAUCUUAAAGAGUCCACAUUGGCCAGAUGAACACUUCAAGGUCAUCCAGUAUCGCUAUAAACAAAACAAAUGUAUCGGCUCUAUUAUGUUGCUAAAAUCCCAGCUGACUGACA